UCCCUGGUAAUCUAGUGGCUAAAAUUCUGCACUCCCAAUGCAGGGGGCCCAGGUUCGACCCCUGGUCAGGGAA